rnacentral:ncRNA from 1 species
CAACCUCAACUCAUAUGGGACUACCCCCUGAAUUUAAGCAUAUUAAUUAGGGGAGGAAAAGAAACUAACAAUGAUUUUCUUAGUAGCGGCGAGCGAAAAGAAGGGUGCCAGGCCUGUAUAACGUUAAUGAUUACCAGAUGGUGUUUCCAAAGAGUCGUGUUGCUUGAUAGUGCAGCACUAAGUGGGUGGUAAACUCCAUAUAAAACUAAAUAUAACCAUGAGACCGAUAGUAAACAAGUACCGUGAGGGAAAGUUGAAAAGAACUCUGAAUAGAGAGUUAAAUAGUACGUGAAACUGCUUAGAGGUUAAGCCCGAUGAACCUGAAUAUCCAUUAUGGAAAAUUCAUCAUUAGAGUUUUAAUAUUUUAAUAAUAUUAUAAUAAUAGUGUGCAUUUUUUCCAUAUAAGGACAUUGUAAUCUAUUAACAUAAACCAAAUUUAUCAUAAAAUAUGACUUAUAGUUUAUUUUAAAUUAUUU